rnacentral:rRNA from 1 species
GACGAACGCUGGCGGCGUGCUUAACACAUGCAAGUCGAACGGUGACCUCGAGAGCUUGCUCUCGGGUGAUCAGUGGCGAACGGGUGAGUAACACGUGAGUAACCUGCCCCAGACUCUGGAAUAACCCCGGGAAGCCGGAGCUAAUACCGGAUACGAGACGGAGAGGCAUCUCUACCGUCUGGAAAGUUUUUCGGUCUGGGAUGGACUCGCGGCCUAUCAGCUAGUUGGUGAGGUAACGGCUCACCAAGGCUACGACGGGUAGCCGGCCUGAGAGGGCGCCCGGCCACACUGGGACUGAGACACGGCCCAGACUCCUACGGGAGGCAGCAGUGGGGAAUAUUGCACAAUGGGCGAAAGCCUGAUGCAGCGACGCCGCGUGAGGGAUGAAGGCCUUCGGGUUGUAAACCUCUUUCAGCAGGGAAGAAGCGAAAGUGACGGUACCUGCAGAAGAAGCACCGGCUAACUACGUGCCAGCCGCCGCCGUAA